ACAUAUCAAUAAGCGGAGGAAAAGAAACCAACAGGGAUUGCCCUAGUAACGGCGAGUGAAAGCGGCAACAGCUCAAAUUUGAAAUCUGGCUCUUUCAGGGUCCGAGUUGUAAUUUGUAGAGGGUGCUUUGGCGUCGGCCGUGGUCUAAGUUCCUUGGAACAGGACGUCACAGAGGGUGAGAACCCCGUACGUGGCCACUGGUCUUCGCCGUGUAAAGCCCCUUCGACGAGUCGAGUUGUUUGGGAAUGCAGCUCUAAAUGGGAGGUAAAUUUCUUCUAAAGCUAAAUAUUGGCCAGAGACCGAUAGCGCACAAGUAGAGUGAUCGAAAGAUGAAAAGCACUUUGGAAAGAGAGUCAAAAAGCACGUGAAAUUGUUGAAAGGGAAGCGCUUGCAGCCAGACUUGCCUGUAGUUGCUCAUCCGAGCUUUUGUUCGGUGCACUCUUCUGCGGGCAGGCCAGCAUCAGUUCGGGCGGUCGGAUAAAGGUCUCGGGAAUGUAGCACCCUUCGGGGUGUGUUAUAGCCCGGGACGUCAUGCGACCAGUCUGGACUGAGGUCCGCGCAUCUGCUAGGAUGCUGGCGUAAUGGCUGUAAGCGGCCCGUCUUGAAACACGGACCAAGGAGUCUAACAUCUAUGCGAGUGUUUGGGUGUCAAGCCCGGGCGCGUAAUGAAAGUGAACGGAGGUGGGAACCCUUUGGGUGCACCAUCGACCGAUCCUGAUGUCUUCGGAUGGAUUUGAGUAAGAGCAUAGCUGUUGGGACCCGAAAGAUGGUGAACUAUGCCUGAAUAGGGUGAAGCCAGAGANANACUCUNUGUGNAGGCUCNCANCGGUUCUG
rnacentral:rRNA from 1 species